rnacentral:antisense_RNA from 1 species
AAGAGAUAGCCUGACCAGACAGGGCUUCCAUCUGGCAGUGCCCAUGCCUAGAUAUACCUGGGCUCACCAUACAACAUCCCAGCCCACACAAGGCCCUGCUACACCUCCAUCCAACAUGCUCCUGGACUGACCCUAUUGAAUCCACAUUCCCACAUAUUACCCUGACUCAUAUCACCUAGAUCAUGACAGAAACCAGAUGUGGCCUCAAACCACACUUCUGAACCUCCAAUCUACCAUUCUCUCUUGCCUCCUGACUCCAGGCAGGGGGCUCACAAGUUAGCAGAGCAGGGCCUAACCCGAUUACAUAGCCAUAGACUGCUAUGGGUUGUGUUUCUACAGAAGUCAAAUGUUGAAGUCGUAACUUCCACUAUUUCAGAAUAUGACUGUUUUUGAGAUAGGGCCUUUAAAGAGGUGAUUAAUGCUAAAUGGGAUCACAAGAGUGGCAUCUAAUCCAAUAUAAAUGCUGUCCUCAUAAGAAAAGGAGAUUAGGAAACAGAGAAGGACCAGUGAAGACACAGAGAAAACGGCUGUCUACAAGCCAAGGAGAGAGGCCUCAGAAGGAGCCAACCCUACUGACACCUGGAUCUCAACCAUGUAGCCUCCAGAAUGAACGUCUAUCCUAUGCCUGCACCACCAUUGCAUUUUGGAAGCACAAAACUUGUCUGGUUUCAUGCUUCACAACUGAAGAAGAAUUUUGCCUUGGAAUGACUCAUACUUCACCUCCCUCACACUUGACUUAGAUGGCAUUCAGAUAAGAUUUUGA